rnacentral:lncRNA from 1 species
GUUGAGAUUGGUAACAUGCACCCAUCACACUUUAGAUCAUCAUCAACCUUGUCAGUAAGGAUUAGGUUAUGUUGAUGACUGAAAUGCUCGAUCUCUUCAAUUAUUCUCUCCUCUCCAUGCUUGAUCUCACGGACAACGCGAAAGCUAGGUUCCAUGAAUUGAUCAUCAACAGUCACACUUUGCUCUUCUUGCAGUCUCUGUUGCAUAAUCGCCAUAUUCUCUGCUACAAUUCACGUGUGCAACAAAGUCACAGUCUGGGCAAUAGUAAACUCCGUAUUCUGUGUCAACUUCCCGACGGCAAAUUCCACAGUACUUGUUUAUAGAUUCGAUGCAUUGUUGAGGAUGAUAGGUGUGGAUGAUUCGGGGAUGAUGGUGCAGUGCCGUUUUAAGGGUGCCUGGCAAUGAAAUGCAUUCUUCGUGGACCAAGAGUUGGCACAUGGUGCACACUAAUGGAGAGUCAUCUCCAUCAGUGCCGCAUGCAUUGCAAGUGAAGGAGAUUGAUUUUAGUGAAGGUGAAUUCAGUAGGCGUCUAAAUUGAUGCCCCUGAUCCUGAUCAGCUGCAUAAACGCACGGUGGAAAAGCACAUUUGAUAUGGAGGUUGAAUUCGCACACAAAACAGCAGUAAACAAAACUCUCAUAGCAAGUUUCGUUGCAAAAAUCCACAGAUCAUGAUGAUUUGGCAGUAGACGAAGAGGGUGUUCUGGAUGAAUGUGCCUCUUGAUCUCUGGGGGUAGCUCAGCACACUUCUUGUGAAGAAAGAGUUGCAAGAAGUGCAACUAUAGCUAGGACCAGACAUUGGUUCCUUGCACACAAGCACACAACUCCUUCACCAUGAUAUUCUUGCUCUUCAUUCAAAAUCAAUGGAUGAUCCUUGUGGGCAAAUUGAUGUGCCUGACUAUCAACUUCCAAAAAACCCGGUUGAAAAGCACAUUUGAUAUCAAGAUCAAACUUACAGAAAGAACAAUGGUAAACAAAACAGUUGAAAGUUUUGCGCACCGAUCACAACGGUAUUUCCUUUAUAUGGUGACUUUGCAGUAGAUGGAGAGGGUGUCUACGAUGAAUGCGCCGCUUGAUCUCACGGGGCAGCUCGGCGCAUUUCUUAUGAAGAAAGAAGUAGCAAGAGGUGCAACUGUAGCAAGGACCCCAUAUUGGUCCCUCGCAUCCAGAGCAAAUAACUAGUUCACAACUAUAUUCGAGAACUUGAUUAAUGAGGAUCAAUGGAUGAUCUGGGUGGCUAAAAUGUUCAACCUCCAUGUCUCUGGCUCUCUCAGAGGACAGAGCAGGAAAUGAGGGGUGUUGAGCCAAGGCAAGACUUAGGGAUGCCAAAUUGAAGCUGCCGAAUAUAUAUAUGUUAUCGAAAUGGAAAGGCAAAUAAAAGUUGAGUGCUACUAGAAUUCAAUACCUCACCAUCUGAACUGAAACUUGACCUCUUCACCGACGACGGCUAAUUAAAUAAUUACAGCUGCUUACUGCUAAAUUACAGAUCAACCAACGAGAUCCAGAACACAGUGAUUUCCCAUUAAGAUCGGAUACCAAUCAAUUGCUGGGGAAGCAUUUUCUUCCUUCUUCCCAUUUAUCAAAGAUAGCCGAAACGAAAAAUAAUUCAAAGGACUGAAAAUUCAAAGAGGCCCAAAAAGAAAGGAAGGGUGUUAGCUGUAAGGAAGAGGUGGGAAGAAGAUCAUGAAGAAAGCUACAAGCUCCUCUAUUCGUAAGGAUGAGAUUGUUCAAGCAUGUGAAUAAGAAGACAGUUUCCCAUGUCUUUUCUGGUUGGAUAAGAAGACUCGUUGACUUGAGUUGGGUCUCCUCAACUUCUUAUAUUACUCAUUUGCCCAUGGAUAGCGGUUUAAAAUUGCUUUCUAAACGGUAUUUUUAAUAAAAAUAUAUAUUUAAAAUUAAGUUUUUUAUAUUUUUAAAUAUGUUGAUAUUAAAAAUAUUUUUUAAAAAAUAAAAAUAUUUAUUUUAAUACUUUUUUCAAAUAAAACAAAUAUUUUAAAAAAUAACUACUAACACCCUCCUAAUCUUUUUCCAAGUAGAGGUAAUUAAACUUAAAAAUCUAAUGAUAAAAUCCUUUAAUUAUUAAAAUCAUAAAUCAAUAAUUACAUGUAUAUAUAAUUAACAUAUUUUAGCUAAAUCUCAAAUAGGUCUUUUUUUCUAUCAUAACGAACUAUAUAAAUUAAUAAAUUUAUAAAUGUUAAACUAUACUUUAUAGUUUAAUUUUUAUAAUAAACGAUUUUACUCUUAAUAACCUAGAAAUGUGAAACAAAUACAUAAUUAACUAAAAUUAUGAUAUUUCAUUUAAAUUAACUAAAAUAUUUUAAGCAAAUUGCACAUAACGUAGAAGUUUAAUGUUAUAUAUUCUGCCUUUUAUUGAAUAACUUAACUAAAAAUUAAAGAUAUAAUUAAUUGAUAUAAUUACACUUAUAAAAGACUUAUUAGAAAUAAUCUUUACGAUAUAAGGAAAUAUGAGGUACUUAUCAUGAGUAAGUGAUAUUUUUUAUAUCAAAAUAAAUUUGUGAAGGUCGUGUGACUUCUUUGUUAAUUUGAAUGGAAAAAAUAAAGAGAACAUGUUAGAAAAAAUCAUUUAUCUUGGAAUUAAAUUAUAUAAUUAGAGAUAUAAAGAGAAAUUAAAAACACAUUCUCUUAUACAAGGAUUCAUUAAUUAAACCAUUUCUCCUUAAAAAACCUCCACCUCAAAGUCUCCAUUGUCAUUCCUAUUUGGUUUUCUAGAUUUUACAAUGAAGAGAGGGAUGGGGAAAGGAAGAAGAUCAUGUGUGUGUUUCCUUCCCAAAUUAAUUACAGAUUUUUAGAAUCUAUGUCGUUUUAUGUAAACAAAUGUCUUUAUUAUAUUAUAACAAGGAAAUGCCUGUAAAUCUUGUCCGUUAUCUAGGUAGAUUUGAAGGAAGAGAAAUAUUUUAGUUUUUAGGGAGGAGUAUUUAGGGGAUAAGCGGUUGUUACGUCAAAUUUACUUUUUAAAAGAUGUGUUUUGCGAUACUUGGAAUAAUUCAACUAUGAUGCGUAGAUAUCCAACUACUAUCUUAUGACUUAAGCCUGAAGAAGGAUUUAUUAAACUAGACGUGGAUGAAAGCUCUCUUAGGAACCCGGGGAGGAUUGGAUUUGGGGUCUCUUAAGAAAUUCUGAAGGGAGAUGGUUGAUGAGUUUUACGAGUUAUUGAGAUUUUGAUUCUAAUCUACUUCCAAAACUACUAGGAAUUAAAUAUUAUUUAUUGGUGAUAUGAGAUAGAGGUUUUAGAAAGGUCAUAUGGAACUCUGAUUUUACAGAUGUUAUUCAACUGAUUUAUAAUAAUUUUAACAAGUAUUAUUUAUUUAGAGCUGUUAUUUUUUAUAUUAAAGAAUUCAUGAUACGAAAUUGGAAAGUUCGUUUGUUUCAUACUUUGGGCGAGGCUCAUUCAUGUGCUUAUUAUAGGGCUAAACUUGCAGCUACAAUUAAAUUCAGAUUAACUAGAUAUAAUUUAUACAUAUACAUAAAAAUAACAACUUAACUAUCUUUUUUUUUUUCUUGCGCCUAAUUUAACUAGCAUUACAAGCUAUGAGAAGGCCAACUUUACCAAACAUUUGAAUCUUAAAGAAACUUGAGCCAUGUCUUGAUAAGUACGCAGCUCAUUUUAUUAUCAAUUUUGGCUUGGAAGCUGCUUGACCAAUAUUUUUGAGCUUGUUUACGUGCUGACUCAGAAUUUCUGACCUAAUUGCGUGCCGAAUAAUAUCAGUCCCUCACAUCCUGAGCAAAUAAUUAGUUCACAACUAUAUUCGAGAACUUGAUUAAUGAGGAUCAAUGGAUGAUCUGGGUGGCUAAAAUGUUCAACCUCCAUGUCUCUGGCCCUCUCAGAAUGCAGAGCAGGAAAUGAGGGGUGUUCAGCCAAGGCAAGACUUAGUGAUUAAACUUAAAAAGAAAAAAAAUGACAAAACAAUGAUUAAACACGUGGAUUCAGGAGGCCUAGCACGCCUAUCAUCACAUUCUAACAUGUUUGUGUUUCAUUUCUUCUUAUUAUUAUUAUUUGAAUGGGAGGACUUCUUAAAGUAACCAUAUGAUACGUCUUUUGUAGUGGCAGAAAAUACGACACCUAUUUAUUUCACCGCCGAGAAACUCUAGAGGCUAGAAGUUGCUGGAAAAUCGCUCCCCUCUCUUCGAAAACACCAUUUCAAGCAUUUCUUUCAUUUAUAAGCCACUUAGAAAGUACAACGUAAACAUAACCUCUAAACAAUGUUAAAUCCAUUAAAAAACUCAAAAUUUGUUCUAGUUAAAAAAAAUCCCCAAAGGAUCUACUUUUCCUGGUAAGAUGAGCAGCAAAACAUACAUCAAUGGAAUUUUUAUCUUGAAAUGGAACCCAUUAACAUCAAGAACAACUUUUUUCAAUUGCUAGAACUUGGUUAAUAAUAACUUUUUCUCUCAUUCGUUGUAAUCUAAUAACUUUCACUCUCUUUUCUUAAACUUAAGGAUUAAAAUGUAAAUAAAAUAAAGUCUUGGAUCAAAUAGUAUAAUUUUCAAGCUAAAGGGAUCAAAACUAAUAUUGGAUCAAAUUUAAAGUCUAAAAGUCUUUGACAACCAUUCUUUCUUAAAAUUGAUAUCAUUUCACCAAGCUUUUAAUUUUGAUAGCCUAGAUUUUUGUUUUUCUCUAACAACAAAAUUGAUUUUUUUUUUUUUGUAAAAUAAAGAACCAACCCAACAUGGUGGUAGUUUUUUGAGGUUGUAAUAAACUGGAAGAAAGCAAUAGGAACUAAAUAACUAAGUUAAAUCACCAAUCAAUGCAAUGUAGAAGGAUAAAUUUUAAAAAAAACAAAUCUCGAUUGCCGAACUAAAAAAAGAAAAAAGAAAUCAAGGACUAAGAAGUGAAGAUAUCAUCUUCAGGACUAUCAUUUCACCUAACUUUCAACUUUGAUCCUCUUAUUUUCAAAUACUAUUUUUGUCAAUAAAUACUACCUUGAUAUUGAAAUGUUGUCUUAUUUUUUUAUUUUGUUUUCUACCUUAUUUCUUUUUAGAAAAUAAUUAGGCUCAUGUUAUAAAUGGAUUAGAUUCCUUUUCUAUAUAGAUUAAAUUGAUUAAGGUUCGAUCAUUAUUUGUUGAUGUUGCCUCAUUGAAAUCCAUCUUGACUAAAAUAUUCCAAACAUGUCCAUUAAAUAUAUUUUUGAGCUUCUUUUCUUUUGAUCUUGUAAUUGACCCAACUAGAACUUUUAAUAGAUAAUUUAGUGUAGUUUAAAUUGUAUUAUAUUUAACCUCGCAACAUGAACCAUAUAUCAAAUAUGUUUAAUAGCUUUGUUUAUUAAAAUUAAUAUUUUAUUUAAUAAAAUAAUAAUAAAAAAGAUGUAUAGAAAAGCAAUCAAAUAAAAUUAAAGAAAAAAUAUAUAACUAGGACUACAUACAUAUAAAGGAUGCCUUCUAAUAUAAAAAAAUAUUAAAAUUUUAUUUGUAAAUUAAGUAAAAGUUAAAAUAUUCUAUUAAAUAAACAUCAUAAAAUAUUUAAAAAAACAACCAAUAAAAAUCCAAAAUUUUAAAAAAAUACUCAGACCCUAACAUGGGUGUCCCAACACAUCUAAACUUACAAAAAUUCCAUUUGCGUGGGCUUUUAUCCCAGAUCCGCGCUCGUUGGCUAACUUAUUAUUAUUAUUUUUUUGUUUUUCUGGAAUGAGUGUAUGUAUCAACUUUCCGAGAUAUCUCCUGUCUGAUUGUUAGGGUUUAGGAAGUAAGUUUUUCCAGGCAUCAUUGUUUGGUUUAGUCAUGUGAAACGUUGGUGCUAUUAGUUAAAUGCGUCAGCAUGUAUUUGGACUACAGAAAUGAAAGUUCAGGUGAAUAAGUUCAAGCUAUCUCGUUUCACAUCAAAGCUUAAAGCAUCAUAAUCUAAUAUCUACUUGCUGGAGAUUGAAUGGCAAUGUUCUUUUCAAAAGCAACAUUGCGAAGGAACAAAGAAGGGGAAUUAUCAGUAUAUAUACCAGUAAUGUCAGAUAGGACUUCUGGUGAAAGUGGGGGAAUUUAGAUUUGAAUAAUGAUUUAUACAUUCAAGUUCUUGAAUUGCAACGGAUUCAUUCAAGAUCUGCUGGAAGGAUUUGAGAGGAAACGGCGAAGCGGAGCUGCCAUGCUCGACCGUUAGAUUUGUACAUGUCAACAUCUUGCUGCAAACCUUCCAUAGCAUCCUCUUGGUCCUAACAAUUGUUUUGUUCCUGAAAUAACUUGUGAUUCAGGUAUACCUGCUACAGAAACAUUUUCUACAGUAAUUCAAGGCCAUAGCCGGAGCUGGCCUUCUGCUUGUUCUGAUCAAAUUUACAGAUUCAAAGUUCAUUGUGUGGUUUAUCAAAAUAUGGUUGUAAGAAGCAGCGCUUAAGUUGAACAUAAGGUUAUGGAGAUGGAGUUUGUGAAAUGUUAUGGCUGAUGAGAGUUUUUGAAGAACUAUGAAGUUGUAUUAUGACAAUAAAGCUGCCACAAGAACUCUUAAUACCGAGAAGGCUGGGAAUGUUGCAAGCACGUACAAAAGGUUAGAGAUUUUUAAUUUGAUACUUGCAAAAUUGAAGUAACAACAAUUUAAAUUCGAGACCAGAUUGAUAUAUGAUAUUUUUUAAAAAAUAAGCAAUCUUGUAAAGGGCAUAAUUUUUUUUUUUUUAUCUUAAUUCAACUCAAAUUUUAUUAGAAGAUUUUAAAUGCUUUAUUUUCUAUAAAAUUAGAAUUUUAUAAUCAUUUAAAAUCAACAAGACUUUCAAAUAAAACAAAAAAAACCUAUCUAGACUUGUAAUAUUUUAUUAGUUGAUUUAAUUUUUUUUUUUCUAUUUAGUUUUUUUUUUUUUUUUAAGGAUUUGGGCCUCUAAAUCCCUUCGUGGUUUUGAAAUUAGAUAAACAAUGAUGGAGGCUUAUUCUUAUUCUUCUUAAGAAAAAAAAUACCAAAAACAUGAAUUAACUUACUUCUGCAUGAUAUAUCUUAUUAAAGGACAAAGCUAUCAAAUGACCUUGAGGUCUUUGUUUUAAAUAUUAUUUAAAUAGAUUUAUUUAUUAUUAGAUUGUGUUAAGGAAAUAAAAAUUAAAUAUUCGAAUGAAAAUAAUUGAUAUAAGUUAGAUAAGUGUUAUUUUAUAUGCCAAUAUUUCUAUGCAUUUACAAUAAAAUCUAUAACAAAAAUGUAAAAACAGAAUUUAUGGAGAGCUUCCUGCUAAGCUAAAAAAAAUGGUGGAAGGUCAGACAUCUUUGUCACGACGAAGGCACAAAGAAACAACAAACUACCUUCAAUCUUUUAUUGUUAAAAAAAAAAACAGAGAAAAAAAAAGUGAUCUCAUACGCAUAAAUAGAAACAGAGAUAGUAAUCCUUUGUCUAGCAACUGCCAACAAUCAUAACCCAAAAAUAAGAAAAAAGCCAACAACUGCAAUCCAAUUAUGGCUUCCAUACUGUACGAAAGCAUUGCCGUCUAAACCGGUGUACGAUAAAAUCACAGUUAGGAUCAGUACAUUCAAGGGCCAAGUCAUCGCAAGGCUCCCCACAGAUAUCGCAUGCCUGCGGACGAUAAUCCCCUGUCUUGUCGACCAAAGCAAGAGGGUGAGGGUGUGCAGGAUAUGUGCGAACGCCCCCUGGCUUGACGUAUGGGUAUUUCCCGAGAGCACAUUCUGGAUGAGCAUCGAAGUCGCAUUCCUCACAACGGUAGAACCAGAGCUUCGGGUCUCUAUCUUUUUCACAAAUUAUGCAGGAAGGCUGGUAGUCAUUUUCAUUAUUGUAGGUGAGGAAGAGAGGAUGGUCAUCAUACUCGUGUCUUGCUUUGUAUGGCAGUGUAGCACAUUUCAUACCCAGCUUGAACUCGCAAACCGCACAUUUUAAAAAUACCUUCGAUUCUUCACUGACACAACAGCCACUGCAAUGGGGAAUAAUCUCUCUGUCAUCUACAAGCAAAGGGGGAAGCCCGUAACCUCCAAUACGGCAACGGAGAAUACUCUUUCUGUCCACUGGAAGAUAAAGGGGAUGCUCAUGACCUCCAUGUUUAAAAGAAUCUUUCAAUGAUUUGAAGCAUCGGACAUCAAUCCAGAGUCUACAUACUUUACAUUUGUAACUGAGCCCACGAAAAUAUUGACUACACACAUCACAGGAGACCAGAUCAUGUGGCCCUCGGCUCCAUGAAAGAAUCAGUUCGUUUUGGUGAUAUUGCCACUUUUUUUGCCUGAGUAAUUCUAUGCUGCAGGUUUUGUCAAGAAAGAAGUUACAACUGGCACAACUGUAAAAUGGAGUUGAGAUUGGUAACAUACACCCAUCACACUUUAAAUCAUCAUCAACCUUGUCAUUAAGGAUUAGGUUAUGUUGAUGACUGAAAUGCUCGAUCUCUUCAAUUAUUCUCUCCUCUCCAUGCUUGAUCUCACGGACAACGCUAAAGCUAGGUUCCAUGAAUUGAUCAUCAACAGCCACACUUUGCUCUUCUUCGUUUUCUCCAGCAGUCUCUGUUGCAGAAUCGCCAUAUUCUCUGCUACAAUUCACGUGUGCAACGAAGUCACAGUCUGGGCAAUAGUAAACUCCGUAUUUUGAGUCAACUUCCCGACGGCAAAUUCCACAGUACUUGUUUAUAGAUUCGAUGCAUUGUUGAUGUUGAUAUGUGUGGAUGAUUCGGGGAUGAUGGUGCAGUGCCGUUUUAAGGGUGCGUGGCAAUGAAAUGCAUUCUUCGUGGAGCACGAGUUGGCACAUGGUGCACAUGAAAGGGGAGUCAUCUCCCUCAGUGCCGCAUGCAUUGCAAGUGAAGGAGAUUGAUUUGAAUGAAAGUGGAUUCAGCAGGCUUCUAAAUUGAUGCCCCUGAUCCUGAUCAGCUGCAUAAACGCACGGUGGAAAAGCACAUUUGAUAUGGAGGUUGAAUUCGCACACAAAACAGCAAUAAACAAAACUCUCAUAGCAGGUUUCUUUGCAAAAACCACAGAUCAUGUGAUGAUUUGGCAGUAGACGAAGAGGGUGUUCUGGAUGAAUGUGCCUCUUGAUCUCGGGGGCAGCUCAGCACAUUUCUUGUGAAGAAAGAAGUUGCAAGAAAUGCAACUAUAGCUAGGACCAGACAUUGGUUCCUUGCACACAGAGCACACAACUCCUUCACCAUGAUAUUCUUGCUCUUCAUUCAAAAUCAAUGGAUGAUCCUUGUGGGAAAAUUGAUGUGCCUGACUAUCAACUUCCAAAAAACCCGGUUGAAAAGCACAUUUGAUAUCAAGAUCAAAUUCACAGAAAGAGCAAUGGUAAACAAAAUAGUUAAAAAAUUUGUCGCACCGACUACAACGGUAAUUUCCUUUAUAUGGUGACUUUGCCAGUAGAUGGAGAGGGUGUCUAGGAUGAAUGCGCCGCUUGAUCUCACGGGGCAGCUCGGCGCAUUUCUUAUGAAGAAAGAAGUAGCAAGAGGUGCAACUGUAGCAAGGACCCCAUAUUGGUCCCUCGCAUCCAGAGCAAAUAACUACUUCACAACUAUACUCGAGAACUUGAUUAAUGAGGAUCAAUGGAUGAUCUGGGUGGCUAAAAUGUUCAACCUCCAUGUAUCUCGCUCUCUCAGAGGACAGAGCAGGAAAUGAGGGGUGUUGAGCAAAGGCAAGACCAAGGUAGGCCAAAUCGAAGCUGCCGAAUAUAUAUGUUAACGAAAUGGAAAGGCAAAUAAAAGUUGAGUGCUACUAGUAUUCAAUACCUCACCUUCUGAACGAAAACUUGACCUCUUCACCGACGACGGCUAAUUAAAUAAUUACAGCUGCUUACUGCUAAAUUACAGAUCAACCAACGAGAUCCAGAACAAAGUGAUUUCCCAUUAAGAUCGGAUAGCAGAAUUCAAAGAAGCCCGAAAAGGAAGGAAGGGUGUUAUCUGUAAGGAUGGGAUGGGAUGGGAGGAAGAUCAUGAGGAUAGCUACAGGCUCUUCCAUUUGUGCAGAUGAUAUUAUACAAGCAUGUGAAUAAGAAGACACUUUCCCUUUUCUUUUCUGGUUGGAGUGGAAGACUCGUUGACUUGAGGUGGGUCUCGUCAACUUCUUGUUACUGGAUCAUGUCCAUUGCUUAGUAUUCUAUUGGAUUGGUCCAUUGCUUAGUUAAUGGAUCGUGUCCAUAUAAUAAGUUAUUAAUGAAAUAAAAAAUAGUAUUAGAAACUAUUACUACUUGGAUUUGAAGGUGGAUUGUUAUCAAGCAAACCAAUCAUCGACCUGAAAACAUUGAAGGCGCAUGAGACCUGACGUAUGUGAGAGAUGACAGCAAAUAAAUCGCAAAUACAAUGUUGCGGUUAAAUUAAUUUUUUUAAAAUAAAAAAAAUAUUCAGAUAUUAUUAAUAAACUACUAAAUAAUAGUAGCAUUCCUUUAAAUAUUAGUAAAAAUCUAGGUAAAAUAAAUCCUUCUUUUUAAAAAAUAACUAAAUCUUAACUAUCACCAUAAUAUAUUAUGUAAAUAAACUACUAAAAGAAAAAUCAUGAUUAUAUGAAAGCCAUUGUGAUUUUAGCUCCUGCAUUAUUUUUCUCGAAAUAAAAACAACUCAGAUUUUUAGUUGAAAUCGUUCUUGUCUCGAUCAUAAGGACAUGUCACAGAAGAUCAUUUAUCUUGGAAUUAAAUUAUAUAAUUAGAGGUAUAAAAAAAAUUGAAAACACAUUCUCUUAUAUAUCACAUUUCAUCAUGUUCAUUAACUACAAACAAUUAAAUUCAGAUUAAAUAGAUAUAAUUUAUACAUGUAUAUAAAAAUAACAACUUAACUAUGAAUUAUUUUUUUCUCUCGUCUAAUUUAAACUAUAAAUUCAAAAACUAAUGUUAACCAUUUCUCCUUAAAAAGCCCUCGACCUUAAAGUCUCCAUUGCCAUUCCUAUUUGGUUUUCUAGAUUUUAUAAUGAAGAGAGAGAUUGGGAAAGGAAGGAGAUCACGUGUGUAUUCCCUUUCAGAAUUAAUUACAGGUUUUUCAUAUCACAUUUUUCAUGCUUAUCACCCAUAAAUUAUUAAAUUAAAGUAAAAAUGACAUCAAUUAUAUAUAAUAAAAGUAAAAAUUUAACUAUUUAUUGUUUAAAACAUGUCAAGUCAAAUUUAUAGUAUUAUAAAUCAUAAGGUAAUCAUUGAAUGCAUAUCGAAAAAAAAAAGCAGGAUAAACUAAAAAUAAUAAUUGUUUGUUAAAAAAUAAUGGUUGUCAAAAUUAAAAAAAAGACAACUAUAACCUUAUUCAAACUAAAACUAAAAUUUUAGUGUUAUUUAAAAAAAACACCUUUAACAUAUUUUGUAUUAAUUUAAGAAAUUAAUGAAGAAAUAUAUAUAAUAUAUAUUUAGUUAUCUAAUUCUACAUUAAAUAGACUUAAAAGAAAAAAAAUGGCAAAAAAUGGUUAAGCACAUGAUCCAGGAGGCCCAGCACGUCAGUCAACACAUACUAACAUAUUUCGACUUCAUUUUUUAUUUUUUUAUUAUUUUUAUUUAAAUGGGAGGACUUUUUAAAGUAACCAUCCGAUAUGUUUUUUGUUGUGACAAAUUAAAAACACAUCACCUAUUUGUUUCACCGUCGAGAAACUCUAGAGGCUGGAAGUACCGGAAAAUUGCUCCCCUCUCUUUGAACACAAAACACCAUUUCAAUCAUUUCUUUCAUUUAAAAACACUUAGAAACACCCCGUAAACACAACCUCUAAAUAAUAUUUAAUCGAUUAAAAAACUUAAAAUUUGUUCUGGUUAAAAACAAAUCCCAAAAAAUUCUACUUUUUAUAGUAAAAUGAAGGGCAAAACAUAUAUCAAUAGAAUUCUUAUCUUGAAAUAAUACUAUUUAAGAAUAAUUUUUUUGGUUGUUUUUUAAAAUAUUUUUCACUUAAAUUAAUUAUGUGUAAAAGUUGAAUUGAAAAAAAAAAUAACUGAAAAAUUUAAUGAGAAAAGGAAAGAAACAAUUUGCGAAUCCAAAACAACAAAAAAGAAGGGUUACUGAUAAGUUAAUAUCUUUACAGCAGAAAAUCAAGUUAAAUAGUAUUACAUAAUAAUGUAUUUAAUUUAUUUUUCUGUGUAUGUAUCACACAUUAUGUCACGACUCGAAUCCCGGAUCCGUGACCAGCAACGUAGGAGCGGUGUCGAAAGGACACCUCACCUACGCUAAGCCUCAGAACGGACAUAUCAAAAGAACAAUUUGUUCAAAAAUACGCAGCGGCUCAUAAUAUUCAGAAAUAUUAUAUUAUUUAAAUACUGAUGAAAUCGAAAGAUAGUUAUUAAAACAAAAAUAAUAAUUCAUAAUACAUUUACAUUGUCAAAAUCCAAACGUAAUUAAAACAAGGUAACAGUGGAGCGUCUAAGACAUCAAAUCAAAACUGAAAGGAAAGCCUCGCGAACAAGCAAGGCAUACCGACCAGAACUGAAGAAGCGGAAACACUCAACAAAGUCCCAGAAACUAAAAACCUGAAAUAAUAUUAAAAAUGAGAGGUGAGUUCAACCAACUCAGUGAGGGAAUAACAUUUAAUAUACAUUUCAGAUAUUAAUUAAUUUGUAAGAUGAUUUAUCUUAAUAUACAUAUACAUAUACUUACUAAACAUAUUAUCAUAACGUAACAUAUUAUCAUAACGUAGUGGAUUACAUGUCAGAGAUCAGAUGACACCCGAAGGUGACCAGAUGACACCCGAGGUGACCAGAUGACACCCGUCGGUGACCACUGUGGGAUGAUCAAUCACCACAGGCUGAUGCCUCUCUCACCAGCUAGUAGGUAACAGAAUACUAUGUGCACACAGGCUAACUAUUCUCCGUUAGCAUGGAGUUACUGACAAGUCCCAUAUCAAGGCAUAAUAGAUAUUCACAAUCAUCAAAGAAACGUAUAUCAUAUCAAAUAGAAUUUACUUUAUCAGAUUGCGAGUGCAAAUUCAAGAAUAAAUGAGUACUCGGAAAAUAAAGCAACAUAUAUAAAUAUUCAAGAAAUUUACUAGUUGUACUCAUUGUAUAAUCAACAUACAUAUUUAUUUAUAUUAUAUGCAUAUUAAAGAUUAUUCCACUCACCGGAAAAUACUGAACUAAAGGAAUGUCGGACGAAAGACCCGAAAAUCCGAUUAAGGAUCGUUAGGAGAACCUACAAUAAAUAUAUGAAAUAUACUCAAAAACAGAUCAAACAAAAGAUCCCAAUGCAUAAAAUAAAACUGGGCUUAAUCUCCCAAGUUUAGGGACUAAAACGAUAAUUUUCCAAAACAGGGACCAAAACGUAAUUUUACCAAAUUUUGAGGACCGAACUGUAAAUAUAUAACCAUACUGAAAUUUAUCCAUAAUUCGUCCUUAUCUUUGUCUAGAAUCUUGAAUUAUGCCCCAAGGUCCAAAAUGUGAUUUUAUCAAACUAUUAGGGGUCAAAUCGUAAUUUGUCAAAUUGGAGGACCAAACUGAAAAUAUUAAUUAUACUAGAAUUUUGCCUUUAAAUCAUCCUCAGUUCUGUUCAGAAUCUCAAUUUAUGUCCCAGGGACCAAUCUGUAAAAUUUCCAAAGUUUGGGGACUAAACUGCAAUUUCCGCAAAUUGAGGGACCAAACUGAAUUUUCGUCAUCUUCAACCUCAAACCCAGAAUUUCAACAGAUUACCUACUGUUAGUUCCAGAUUUAUACCUCAACUUCAUCAUUCAAUUCAACCAUAACUCAAAAUCAUCAUAUUUCUCUACAAUCUCUCCAAUUCAACUAAAUAAUCAAAUACCCACAUCAAUCAACCCCUUAAUUCAAACUAAUUCAUCAAUAAACUCAAAAUUCAAAACUCUAAAAUUAAUCAAAAACCAAAAUUUAAAGCUAAAGAAAACAUAUUAUACAUAUUCAAGCAUAAUCUUACCUUUUACUUUUUUCUUCAAUCUUUUCCUUUUCCUUAUUUUCCCCUUUUCUCUUCUUCUUCUUCUUCCUCUCUUCUCUCCUGCCGGUUCUCUCUCAAAUUCAGAUCCUUUUUUUUUUUUUUUUCUUCUUAUACAUAUUUAUCAACUAUUGGUCAAUUACCACACUACCCUUCAAUCAUUUAUACCCUUUUUUAAGCCUCCAAGGACUUUAUUGUAUUUUCCAAUCUUUUUAAGUUUCAAAACGUUACACAUUACUGCUUUGUUUUUGUAGGUUUUGUGUUCGUGCCUCGAGGAGUAGGCAAAACUUGUGAUUGAAAUGACCACUGUUCAACAAAUGAGGUUAAAUAGUUGCACUUCUUAUUCAAACUUACUUGCUGAUCUGUUUUUACAAAUUUGAAAAAAUAAUUGAAAAAAAUUAAAUUUUUAUUUCAUAUUUUUUCUUUAAUUUUUUUUUUAAAUUUUUAUGUAAUAUUAUUAAAAAUAAAUUUAAAAACAAAACAAAAAUACUAUUUCAGUAUAUUUUUAAAUAAAAAAUACUUUAAAAAUUAAUUAUAAAAAAAACUUUAAAAAUUAAUUAUAAAAAAAAACUCUUAUUCUAUAUGGGAUUUGGCUGUGUUUCAAUCAGUUGAAAUUCGAAACAGUAGCUUCAUGAUGUUUAUCUCGAGCAGAAAAAUAAGUCUUUCCUUUGGUAAAUCUAUUUCUUGGUUAUCUCUGCAAAACUAAGUAAUUUUUUUUUCUGUUUUGUAUUAUGAUAUGAGUUGUGAAUUUAAAAGGUCAAUUUCAAUUAUUUUUUUAAUUUUAUUAUUUAAUAUUAAGUUAAUUAAGAAUUAUAUUUCAUAAUUUUAUUUUAAUUUGUUUUCUAAGGUAAUCAUUAUCUCAUACUCAGGUCAUGAAUUUGACAUGUUAACUUUUAUUGACCUGAAUCAAUCUAAUAAGUUGUUUUUUUAAUAUUAAAAAAUAAUAUUAUUUUAAUGUUUUUAGUUAAAUUAUAUUUUUACUAAAAACAUGUUAAAUAAACCAUGUCUCAUCAAAUUAACUCUUACAUUGUUGUUUUUUUUUUUUCAUUAGAAAAAAAACAUUGAUAAUAUUUGAAUAUUUUUUUAUAUUAAAAGAAAUUUAGAUACAAUUAGCGCUACCAAUAAUUUAGUUUUCACUAAUAAAAGUUUUUUUUGUAUCGUAGUAGUAGGGGUUGCUUUUCAAAGUAUUUUUUGUUUAAAUAAUUCAUUGAAAUAAUAUUUUUUAUUUUUUUAAAUUUAUUUUUGACAUCAACAUAUUAAAAUGAUCUCAAAAUACAUAAAAAAUAAUUAAUAUAAAAAAAAAUAUUUUUUAAAAAAGUAUUUUUAAAACAUAAAAACAAGCAUUCUUUAAAUAACCUAUUUUCUUGAAAUCUGAUAAGAAAACAAAAUUUCAAAGAAAUUCAACAACCCGGUGUGAGCCACUGACUAUCAAUUUCGUCCUUUCAAUUGUUAACCCUCAUAUUUAUAAUUUUUUUCCAUUAACUAUCAAUUGUUCAUUUUUUUGUUAUUGAUCAUAUGAACUGAUUUUGGGCUAUUUUGUUGAAGUUUGGAUUUUUGAUUAAAAUGAGAUGAAUGACCUGUUUAGGCAGUUUUAUGAUUUCGGGGACUAAAUUGAUCAUAUGGUGAUUUAGAGGAGUUUUAGUAUUGAUUUUUGGAUUAUUUCAAGAUAUGUGUUAGAUAUGUAAUUAAUGAAGUAGGGGUUAUCUUUUUGUUAUAUACAAAUCAAGAAUUAUGAACAGAGAGAAGGGUUACUGAUAAUUAAGUUACUAAAGAAUUUUGCAUGAGCAAACCAAGUUAAACAGUAUUACCUGAAACAUUGUGAUAUAUUAAUGUCUUUGUCCUUGGCGCUGCUUGACUUGCUAAUUUUAGAGUGUUGAACCCGGUAUUUUAAUUUUAUCAGGUGAUUUAAAUUAUUAUAAAUCUUAAUUUUAUUUUAUUUUUAUUUUUUUAUAUAAUUUCAACUUGAUUUGUGUUAAUGGAACGUGAUUGUAAUGCUUGAUGUUUGUAUGAAAAUAAUGGUUCGUGCCUUAUAACUAUAUGUUGAUUUGAGAAAAAAAAAUGAAAAUAUGGUCAUAAGGCUGAUAACAUUCGCUUGUCAGGAUUCAAUGGUCAAGUUAUCAUUAUAAUCAGUUUCCAUAUAUCAAAAUGAAGUUUAUUUCUAAUUAGAUUUUGAACAGGUUAUUUCCUUUUUUGUGUGUAAGUUUUCUUUGAAUUUGACUAAAUUGUAAAUUAGAAAACAAAUCAAAUCGCCAUGAUCCAUAGCAGUGCAAUGCUAGCUUAUUGCCAUGUCAGUGUUGCUUGAACAGAAUAAAAGAAUAGAAAUCUUUUUAUCAUGUUUUGAAAACUCAUAGCAAAGUUGAAUAUCUACUAGGAAAUUGUAAUGACAUUUUUAGCUUUACUGUUUUGGUGAAACUUUCUAAACACGGGGAAAAUUUUGUGAGACUGGGUUAGCUGAAUGAAGAAAUGCAACAGAUGUGAAAUGUUAUGGCUAAAGAGAAUUCUUGAAGAACUAUAAAAUUGUAUUAUGACAAUAAAGCUGCCAUAAGAACUCUUAAUACCGAGAAGGCUGGGAAUGUUACCACGUACAAAAGGUUAGAGAUUUUUAAUUUGAUACUUGCGAAAUUGAAGUAACAACAAUUUGAAUUCGAAACGAGAUUGAUAUAUGAUAAUUUUUUAAAAAAUAAGCAAUCUUGUAAAGGGCAUAAUUUUUUUUUUUUUUUAUCCUAAUCCAACUCAAAAUUUUAUUAGAAGAUUUUAAAUGCUUUAUUUUCUAUAAAAUUAGAAUUUUAUAAUCAUUUAAAAUCAACAAGACUUUCAAAUAAAACAAAAAAAAAACUAUCUAGACUUGUAAUAUUUUAUUAGUUGAUUUAAAUUUUUUUUUUCUAUUUAGUUUUUUUUUUUUAAGGAUUUGGGCCUCUAAAUCCCUUCGUGGUUUUGAAAUUAGAUAAACAAUGAUGGAGGCUUAUUCUUAUUCUUCUUAAGAAAAAAAAUACCAAAAACAUGAAUUAACUUACUUCUGCAUGAUAUAUCUUAUUAAAGGACAAAGCUAUCAAAUGCCCUUGAGGUCUUUGUUUUAAAUAUUAUUUAAAUAGAUUUAUUUAUUAUUAGAUUGUGUUAAGGAGAUAAAAUUAAAUAUUUGAAUGAAAAUAAUUGAUAUCAGUUAGAUAAGUGUUAUUUUAUAUGCCAAUAUUUUCUAUGCAUUUACAAUAAAAUCUAUAACAAAAAUGUAAAAGCAGAAUUUAUGGAGAACUUCCUGCUACGCUAAAAAAAUGGUGGAAGGUCAGACAUCUUUGUCACUACGAAGGCUCAAAGAAACAACAAACUACCUUCACAGUUUUAAUAAAAUAGCAUCUUUUAUUGUUAAGAAAAAACAGAGAAAAAAAAAGUGAUCUCACACGCGUAAAUAGAAACAGAGAUAAUAAUCCUCUGUCUAGCAACUGCCAACAAUCAUAACCCAAAAAUAAGAAAAAAAGCCAACAACGGCAAUCCAAUUACCUUUUUAAUGAGUUAAAGCAUCGCCUUCUUUUCCCGUGGAUGAUAAAACUGCAGUUAGGAUCAGUACAUUCAAGGGCCAAUUCAUCGCAAGGCUCACCACAAAUAUCGCAUGCCUGUGGACGAUAAUCUCCUGUCUUGUCUACCAAAGCAAGAGGGUGAUGGUGUUUAGGAGAUGUGAGAACGCCCCCAAGCUUGACAUAUGGGUAUUUCCCGAGAGCACAUUCUGGAUGAGCAUCGAAGUCGCAUUCCUCACAACGGUAGAACCAGAGCUUGGGGUCUCUAUCUUUUUCACAGAUUAUGCAGGAAGGCUGGUAGUCAUUUUCAUUAAUGUAGGUGAGGAAGAGAGGAUGGUCAUCAUACUCGUGUCUUGCUUUGUAUGGCAGUGUAGCACAUUUCAUACCCAGCUUGAAAUCGCAAACCGCACAUUUCAAAAAUACCUUUGAUUUUUCCCUGACACAACAGCCACUGCAAUGGGGAAUAUUCUCUUCGUCAUCUGCAGCCCAAGGGGGAAUCCCGCGACCCCCAAUACGGCAGCGGAGAAUACUCUUUCUGCCCGCUGGAAGAUAAAGGGGAUGCUCAUGACCUCCAUGUUUAAAAGAAUCUUUCAAUAUUGAUUUGAAGCAUCGGACAUCAACGCAGAGUCCACAUAUAUUACAUACGUACUUGAGCCCACUAAAAUCUUGAUCACACACAACACAGUAGAACAGAUGAUGUUCCCCUCGGCUCCAUAAAAGAAUCAGUUGGUUUUCGUGAUAUUGCCAUUUUUUUUGCCUGGGUAAUUCUAUGCAGGUUUUGUCAAGAAAGAAAUUACAACUGGCACAACUAUAAAAUGGAGUUGAGAUUGGUAACAUGCACCCAUCACACUUUAGAUCAUCAUCAACCUUGUCAGUAAGGAUUAGGUUAUGUUGAUGACUGAAAUAUUUGAUCUCUUCAAUUAUUCUUUCCUCUCCUUGCUUGAUCUCACGGACAACGCGAAAGCUAGGUUCCAUGGAUUGAUCAUCAACAGCCACACUUUGCUCUUCUUCGUUUUCUACUACAAUCUCUGUUGCAGAAUCCCCAUAUUCUCUACUACACUUCACGUGUGCAACAAAGUCACAGUCCGGGCAAUAGUAAACUCCGUAUUCU